UACGUAGGGCGCAAGCGUUGUCCGGAAUUAUUGGGCGUAAAGAGCUCGUAGGUGGCUUGUCACGUCGGGUGUGAAAGCUUGGGGCUUAACUCCAGGUCUGCAUUCGAUACGGGCUGGCUAGAGGUAGGUAGGGGAGAACGGAAUUCCUGGUGUAGCGGUGAAAUGCGCAGAUAUCAGGAGGAACACCGGUGGCGAAGGCGGUUCUCUGGGCAUUACCUGACGCUGAGGAGCGAAAAGUGUGGGGAGCGAACAGG
rnacentral:rRNA from 1 species